rnacentral:lncRNA from 1 species
GGAGAUGGAUUAUUGUCGUGUUGCCAGUCUGCAGUUCUGUUGAUUUUUACAUACCAUUUAUUUAUAUAAUGACAGGUAUGUUCUACUUCUGUUGAUUAAUCAAGAUUUCAGCGGCAUCUUUACUUAACGUUGUUUCUUAUGUUGAAUUCAGGAUUGCAGAUAAGUCAAUCCUAACUUCAAUUGAACAGUAUGUUCUUGUGAAUUAUAGUGAUCUUCCGGGCAAGAAUCUGACACAUCGAAGAUAAUGCAACUGAUAAAUCAAUAUGGUUUAUGUCGGGGUAUUGCCAAUGGGCAGAACCAGAAUUCGUACAGCCUUGAAGCUGAAAACACUGUGCUUCAUCUAGUCUCCCAAAAUGAUUGGGAUUUGCUUUCAUCAAGAAUUCACUAUUUAUAUUUGAAAUGGUUAUUUCAACAAGAGAAGAUAAGCAGGCUACUGGCUUCCCAUAAACUGAAAUUCAUCAGAAGCGUAGAUGCAACCUGUAUGCUUUGGCCCUUUGGGAAAAUUGAAAUUCAUCAAAAGCGUAGAUGCAACCUGUAUGCUUUGGCCCUUUGG